rnacentral:misc_RNA from 1 species
GGGGCCCAUGUAUCCCUCAACAGGCCUAAAAAUUACAUAUAAUACCAACUGUAAGCCCACGAAAGGUUUCGUUUUCUGAAGUUGGAGAGUAGGAAAAAUGGCUCUUAAAUAAACAAGAAAAUUAGUUUCAAUUGUUCCUGUUUAUGACAUAUGACUGGCGGCCGCUCCACGUCCAAAAGCCGAACCAAAGUGGAAAAGUUGAAAACCUGGAAAGUAAAAGCAAAAGCAAAAGCCAAAGCCACAAAUAUUAUACAAUAUUUCAUUGAUAAAGUCUAUGGAAAUUGCCAUUUUUUCAAUGGCUUGGAUAGAAACAAAAGGGCGUUGACAGAGAACACAGCGUUUACAGCCCGCUUACAAGUCAUCAUAGAUAACAAUGUCAAGGAAAAUUUCGCAAGUAGCAAAAGCCUCGGAAAUUCGUGAGCACUAUGCUGUAGUUUCUGAUCAUGAAUGAAAGUAUAUCUUCUGAUGAAAAAUAAAAAAUAAAAAAAGUAGCAAAAGCCUCACACUAAACAAGAUAUCAUCCCUUGUAAGAAAUGGGAAAAACUCAUCCAAGAUAUAAACACGAGAGUUUCAUCUAUUUAAUAUGUGGAUAUAGACCAGGUACAAAUAAGAAUUUCCCAUAUGAAAUAGCUUCCUGUAAUUAUAUUCCUAAAACAGUUGUUUCUCACAUGAUUGAAAGCAAGUGCAAGAUUAGACAAUGUAUGAACCUUCACAUUUUUCACACACGAAUUUGUCUUCUCCAACCUUGAGCACUCCUUUUACUUGCUCCAUUCAACAGCAGUAAAAAAAAAAGCUUUUAGUAAACUCAUUGAUCAGCUCUUUAUGAAGGAAAAGGUAAACUUUUUUUUCUUAUUAUUUUUUGCCAACAUGCGAAAAACAAGACAACUGCAUUGGGGAAAUUCUUACCAAAAAAUACAGAUCAAAGUCAAGGAAAUUGCACAGCUUGUGGAAAGAAAAGCAUCGUCCUACUAAACUUGCCUAAUACUAACAAAAUUACAUAGUCCAAAAUGAGCGUUAUCAUCCUGCAAACUGCAAGAUAAUAAUCAUACAGGCACGCAUGCAUUACCUGCAUAUGCAACACUUGUCAUAUAUAGAGAUUUAACAGGGGAACUUAAUUAACUUAUUGAAAAUUUAUAUAAAAUCAGUCCAAACUUAAAAGCUGAGAAAUUUAGUGGGGUGGUGUAGCAAAAGCCAUGAUUCUUAAUGAACAUGUUAAAAGUUCCAAACUGUUGAUAGAAAUUAUUUGAAGUUUUGAACAAUCUAGCAGACCAAUUUACCCAACAGUAUAAAAUUUAAUAUGCAGUCAAUUUUGCCAGUUGUUUUUUUGUCAGCCAAAUAUCUAGACCAGAUUCCAUCAAUUGGACAAAAUCUAGCAAGCAGCCCUAAUAUGAUUUGGUGAGACUCAACCAAACAGAACUAAACAGUAUACAAAUCAGCUGAAAUUGCACAAACUUAGCCAGGUAAGUACGCAAAUUUAGAUAUAGCAUUUCCUACCAUACACAAAACAACCAAUGACAAAGAAUGAAAUGCUUCGAACUAAUUAUCCCCUCAAGCUAUCAUACAAAGUUCAAAACUUUGUAUUUAGAUAAGCCAUAUUUAACUAUCCAAGCAUCCAAAUUUACAUAACAAAACCCCCAAGUCACAUAUAUCAAUUUCCGGAGUCAAACAACAUACACCAACUCAUUGGCUAAUCACACCCAAAUUUUUGCGGGAAAAAUAAUAUAGAAGAGAAGCAUAGAUCAAUUCUUAACCAAAAGAUUAUCAGCGAAGCAUUACACCCAAAAUGCCACCACAAUGAGCUUACCCAACAAUCCAAAUUGUGCAGUAUAUCCUCCAACAGAUCAUACCAUAAUGCAAUUUCCACAACCUUAUACACAUGGUUUAAGUUCAUGCUUGAGAACCCAUAUUUAUGUAGAAAGAAUCAGUGCAGAAAAGCAUAAAAGGCAGUGGAAAUAUAAAUCAAGAGAGCCGAAGAAACCAGAAGGACCAAUGCUGUAACCGCGUGAACCGCACUCUUGCUUCCACAUGACAACAUCCCCAACCGAAUCUGAAUCACAUUCACCAUUGAAAGCACCAAAAAGAUGCAACCCAUCACCGACCCCACCGCAGAACCCAUCAUCCCAGAUCUCAAUACCUUUAGAUUGAUGUGGGCUCUGAAAGCCUCAUCCACGUCUUUGCUAUUCAACAAGUUAAUAGCAAGUUUAAGGCCUUGAGCAAUUAGGGAGGAAAAGAGGAAGAAGCUGAAAGACACAACCUCAAAGACAAGGAGUUUUUUCGCCACAUCGAUGCCCGCGUCGCAGGCAGAGCGAUUCUCGAGGCUGCGCUGGCCUGGGGUGGUGAGAGAGAGGCCCACGAAGACAGCGAUUGUGAAAAGGGAGUUGACGUUGACGAGGCCAUCGAGGGCGGUCACGUGGACGCUGGUAGUGGUGGAAGCAGAGGAGGAAGAAGUGGAGGUAACCCUUCCGGUGGUAUUCUCGCUGUAGUAGGGGUCUUUUGGAGAUUGAUCCAUUAUUUAAUCUUUAAUGAAUCUUGGGAGUAGCUUGCAGGGUGUAUGUUCCCUUCAGUUCCCAGCAAUGAUAGGCAGGGAAUCAAAGCUUCAAGAAGGAGCUCCACUCUGUUUAUAGGAAAAGCUUCUAACUUUUUGGUUUGUGCAUAGUGGGUUUGUUAAUUAGCUUGUGGGGAUUUAUUUGAGUUCGGUUUGUUGGAGGUGAGAGUGGGAAAGAAGGAGAUGGCUUGGCUUUUUAGUUAUAUUUGGUUGCUUAUUGGAUGGGAUAAAGGUUGGUGAUUUGCAAAGAGGAGUGGGCAAAGGUCCAGUGGAAGUGGAGGCACAGAAAACAGGUGGUGUUUGUACAAGAGGACAUUUUUUUUUUUUU